CGCGGAGUAGAGCAGUUCGGUAGCUCGCUGGGCUCAUAACCCAGAGGUCGUGUGGUUCGAAUCCCGCCUCCGCCACUA
rnacentral:tRNA from 1 species